rnacentral:sRNA from 1 species
CACCCCUUAUCUUUAUCAAUAUUUACACCAUCCAUAAAAACAAACCCUAAAAUUCUAUCUUCUUCGUUCCAUCUUCUCUGCCUGCCGCUGCCUUUUCCCGUAGCCUUCCUCCUCAUCGUCUCCCGUAGCAGCUACAUAUCCAGGUUCGAUCUUGAUCUUCUCCCGUAGCCGCUGCAUAUCCAGGUUCGAUCUCGAUCUUCUCCCGUAGCCGUUGCAUCUCCAGAAGCAAUUGAUUGAGUUGGAAGUGAUGCUGGUGGAGCUGCAAAUCGUCGAGUCUUCAGAGCGAGCAAGUCUGCAGAUCCAUUUUGUUUUGAUUCUUAUAUAGUGUGAUAAUGGAUUUGAAGCAAAGUUGUGUGUUGUAGAUGAACACAUUGUGAUGUGCUAGUUGGGGAGUUGGAGAAUCGAACCGUAGAUGGAGCGCAAGUGGUUGUGGAAGAAGUCUUCUGAGAAGAGCUCUGGAGAAACUUGUAUAAAUAACAAACACCUCUCUGUAAUUCAUUCAUUGUUCAAGGAAUACAAUCUUUAGUCAUUCACCUUCUCUCUCUAAAUUCUCUGCCAUUGUUUUUCGUUUUGCUUCU